GUUUCCCUGCAGCGCAAUGAAAAGCGUGUUGGAUUUCUAAUCCAAAGGUCAUGGGUUCAAAUCCCAUCUAGAAUA